rnacentral:lncRNA from 1 species
CAUUUUGGUGGGGGAGCUUCUCUAGAAGUAAGAGUUCUUAAUAUUUGCAGGCUACGUCAGCCACCUGCAUGGGGGCAGGUAUCUCCAUGCUUUCAGUUUAAGUGACCAGAGUGUAUUCUGCGUCCUCAAGCGGAAAUGGCAAGGCUGCCCUUUUUUGUCCCAUAUUAAUGAUGAUAUCCUAAUCAUAGUCUUCGUAGAAUCUUAAGUUUACAUGGACUCUUUAUAUUGUUAAAACUCAUUCACAUAUUAUCUGAAUUCAAUUUCAGAAACAGCUAGUUGUACUAGCAAGGAAAAUAUCAUCAUUUCUCUUUUAGAAAUAUGGAAACCGAGACACAUUUUCCUAAAGUCAAAAAAUUGUGUUAUUCUGGAAUUGAAAGGAUCCUUAGAUAACUCAUUUUGGCCUUUAAUUUCACAGAUUAGGAAAUAGAAAAUGAGAACAAUCACAUGAUGAGUAGUAAGAAGGAAAGAACUGAGAUGCCAUGAAGUCCAGAACCCAGCGCUCUUUGAAAUUGUAGCAGUGCAUGUGUCUAGUGGGGAGGAGAUCCCCUUCCUUCGAUGGCUUUUCCGUGUGCAGUGGCUCCGAGGGCCUGGAAUGCAGAUGCCAUGAGACAGUGACUGUUUCCUUCUGGCUCACUCCUGACUUGUCAUCUAACACAGUGCUGACUCCAGAACAGAGGGGAAAUCUGGGUUUGGAGCAGCUAUACCAUAUAUCUAAGGUCAAACACCUAAGAGGAACUUUUAACUUGGGUCAUUUAAGUGCAAGUGCCUUGUUUUCGCCAUUUUGCCAAGGACAUGGGGCUCAAGGUGCCAAGACUGAGGCUCAGAGAAAUGAAAUAACAUGCCAAAGGUCACAGUGUCUAGUGGAGCUGGGGCCAAAUUCAGGUUCGCGUGAUUAAUAACACACAGGAAAAACCCUCAACUUCUUUCAUUCGCCUGUUGAGAUAAAGGGAAAGAGAGUCCCCAUCCAGGCCUGCAGGAGAGGGAGAACUGGUGGAUGCAAAUGAAAAAGCAGAGGCAUUCCUCAGGUCAGUCCUAUGGCCCAGGCUGCCUGGGUGCUCCCAUUCUAUUCUUUUCCAUCAUUUAGUAAACAAUGUUCUCAAAGGGGGAAAAAACAGGAAGUGGAAAAAAGAAUGACAUGGAAAGUCAGUAAUCAUUGUCCUUGGGGAAUGGAACACAGAAUUCCCCUUAUGGUCUAAUUAUUCUUUCAUAUCUUUACUGAGCCCAAAUCAGGCGAGUUUCCAGGGUCUGGCUGAUGUUUCAGGGGCCUGGUUUCUGCCAGUCCUCAGCUCUGAAGGGAAAUAUUUACUAACUUCCUGAAGCUUCCCUAUUAUCAUCUAUUAUUAUUUAGUUCGCAGAAAAAUCUCUGUCAUUUUUCUAACACAGAAGAGAAAAGCUAGAGGAACAUGAAAGACCCAUGUAAACUGUCAUGUGUUUUCUCGGUUGAAGCCACAAGCUGCUUCCUGUUGCCCUGAUACCUCCUCCCAAAGUUACUUCCAUAGAGUGACUUCCAUAGAGUGACUUUGGAAGGAGGUAUCAGGGCAACAAGAAGCAGCUGACUCAUUGCCAACACCCUGUUAGGCACUCAGCAAUGGAUCCUAAGCAUGCUCCUGUUUCACCUGGUGAAAGCAAAUAGUAUGUUUCUUUUCUUAUCUGUGCUUCUGCUUGUGAGUAUAUAAAAGAGGAAAAGUGCUACAAGGCGAUGCUUUAGAAAUUGAAUUCUAUUGCCCAUUAUAAAUGGCUGCAUGCUAGAAUCAGGGGAUCUUGGUAAGCCUACUAAAAUGCAUUCUGUGAUACAAUGGACUUUGGGAACUUGCAGGAAAGGGCAGGAGGGGGUAGGGGGCGAGGGAUAAAAGACUGCAAAUACGGUGCUGUGUAAACUGCUUGGGUGAUGGGUGCACCAAAAUCUC